CGGCGUCGAGCGGCGGACGGGUGAGUAAUGCCUAGGAAAUUGCCCUGAUGUGGGGGAUAACCAUUGGAAACGAUGGCUAAUACCGCAUGAUGCCUACGGGCCAAAGAGGGGGACCUUCGGGCCUCUCGCGUCAGGAUAUGCCUAGGUGGGAUUAGCUAGUUGGUGAGGUAAGGGCUCACCAAGGCGACGAUCCCUAGCUGGUCUGAGAGGAUGAUCAGCCACACUGGAACUGAGACACGGUCCAGACUCCUACGGGAGGCAGCAGUGGGGAAUAUUGCACAAUGGGCGCAAGCCUGAUGCAGCCAUGCCGCGUGUGUGAAGAAGGCCUUCGGGUUGUAAAGCACUUUCAGUCGUGAGGA
rnacentral:rRNA from 1 species